rnacentral:rRNA from 1 species
AUACGGAGGGUGCAAGCGUUAUUCGGAAUCACUGGGCGUAAAGGGUGCGUAGGCGGUUUGAUAAGUCUGAUGUGAAAUCCUAUGGCUCAACCAUAGAACUGCAUUGGAAACUGUCAGACUAGAAUACUGAAGGGGCAGAUGGAAUUAGUGGUGUAGGGGUAAAAUCCGUAGAUAUCACUAGGAAUACCGAAAGCGAAAGCGACCUGCUGGGAAGUUAUUGACGCUGAGGCACGAAAGCGUGGGGAGCAAACGGGAUUAGAAACCCUUGUAGUCC